rnacentral:ncRNA from 2 species
AUGAGAUCAAGGGGAGAGACUGCAAAGGUUUUAGUAGUUUUAAGCUAUAAACUAUUAAAAACUGAGGCUUUUUAGCCUAUCUGCAGCGCCGAAGGAGCAAGCGUAUAAUCGUGAAUCUCUCAGGCAAAAAGACUCUUGUUUGACG